UACGUAGGGUGCAAGCGUUAAUCGGAAUUACUGGGCGUAAAGCGUGCGCAGGCGGUUAUGUAAGACAGAUGUGAAAUGCCCGGGCUUAACCUGGGAACUGCAUUUGUGACUGCAUGGCUAGAGUUUGGCAGAGGGGGUAGAAUUCCUGGUGUAGCGGUGAAAUGCGCAGAUAUCAGGAGGAACACCGGUGGCGAAGGCGGGUCUCUGGCCGAUACUGACGCUGAGGCACGAAAGCGUGGGGAGCAAACAGG
rnacentral:rRNA from 1 species